rnacentral:tRNA from 1 species
GCGGCGAUGGUGGAAUUGGUAGACACGCUAGCUUGAGGUGCUAGUGCCGAGAGGUAUGGAGGUUCAAGUCCUCUUCGCCGCACGA